AGCCUAUUAGCUCAACCCGCCGAGCACCGUGCAAUUGCGCGAAGAUGUAGGUUCAAAUCCUACAUAGGCUA
rfam:Spinacia oleracea cultivar SynViroflay scaffold6096.con0017.1, whole genome shotgun sequence.